rnacentral:lncRNA from 1 species
GAGGAGAGGACUUUUAAUUAAAGGGUGUAAGAGUGAUUUUAAUAUUGACACUUAAGAAAUGACAAUUUGGUUAAUAACACAUGAGGUCAAGGUUAGUUUAAAAUAAUGCUUCCCAAAUAAUAAAAAAAGGGUUUUAUGAAUUAAAGAAAGAAGACAAUUAAAGGUGUAGAAUAGUUUAGUUAUCUUCUCGUGGGCUAUACAACUUCAUUCGAACCAAACCAAAAUCUCGCUUUUACAAAAUCUAGGCCCCGACUUUACUAACCCCAAGUACAAUCUGUUAUGCAUCGGUUGCAUCGGUUGGACCGGAUUGCUUUUACAAAACAUGAUGUUUGCAGUUUUGAUAAGAGAUAGAUAAGUAAUAUUUUACAUCAGAAAUGGAAUACGUUGAUCAUUAGAAUUUGAUAUUCAAUGUCUAACUAUUUGUGAUUUUACGAAUAUCAAAGAUGAUGAU